rnacentral:rRNA from 1 species
AUGAAUUUUAAGCAACUUGAGCAUGAGCAUGUUGCACAAUCUUGGGAGAGGAUGAAAUUAAUGAUAUGUAAUUGUCCUACACAUGGUUUGAAUUUAUGGAUGAUCAUACAAUUUUUUUAUGCCGGAUUGAAUUUUGCUUCUAGAAAUCUUUUAGAUUCGUCCGCGGGAGACACUUUUAUGGAAAUCACUUUAGGAGAAGCUACUAAACUCCUAGAUAAUAUUAUGGUUAAUUAUUCUCAAUGGCACACCGAAAGAUCUACUAGUAAAAAGGUUCAUGCGAUAGAAGAAAUUAAUGUUUUGAGUGGAAAGAUGGAUGAACUUAUGAAAUUGUUUGCUACUAAAAGUGCUGCCAUUGAUCCUAACCUUUGUCUACUUUGA